ACACCUCAACUCUCAUGGUCCACCAUGAUGAGCUUGGACUUUGGAGGUAUUGCCGGCCCAAUUGUCGGCUCCUCUCAAAUGGAUCAGCUUGCCAGUGUUUGGUGGCAUCACGGGUGUGAUAACUAUCUACGCUCGUGGUUUUCCACCAUGUAACCUUCAGCGAUGGAGGUUCGCUGGAGCUCACAGACGUCUCUCCUCAGGGAGGACAGCUUUUUGAAC
rnacentral:misc_RNA from 2 species